CCCAGACUCCUACGGGAGGCAGCAGUGGGGGAUAUUGCACAAUGGGGGAAACCCUGAUGCAGCGACGCCGCGUGGGUGAAGAAGCGCCUCGGCGCGUAAAGCCCUGUCAGCAGGGAAGAAAAUGACGGUACCUGAAGAAGAAGCUCCGGCUAAAUACGUGCCAGCAGCUGCGGUAAUACGUAUGGAGCAAGCGUUAUCCGGAUUUACUGGGUGUAAAGGGCGUGUAGGCGGGGACGCAAGUCAGAUGUGAAAACCACGGGCUCAACCUGUGGCCUGCAUUUGAAACUGUGUUUCUUGAGUACUGGAGAGGCAGACGGAAUUCCUAGUGUAGCGGUGAAAUGCGUAGAUAUUAGGAGGAACACCAGUGGCGAAGGCGGUCUGCUGGACAGCAACUGACGCUGAGGCGCGAAAGCGUGGGGAGCAAACAGGAUUAGAUACCCCAGUA
rnacentral:rRNA from 1 species